GACGAACGCUGGCGGCGCGCUUAACACAUGCAAGUCGAACGGAAAGGCCUGCUUUCCCUUGUGGAUUGCGGGUACUCGAGUGGCGAACGGGUGAGUAACACGUGAGUGAUCUGCCCCCAACUUGGGUAUAAGCCUGGGAAACUGGGUCUAAUUCCCGAUAGGACUGCAGGGUGGUGCCUGUGGUGGAAAACGAUUUUCUAGUGGUUGGGGAUGAGCUCGCGGCCUAUCAGCUUGUUGGUGGGGUAAUGGCCUACCAAGGCGGCGACGGGUAGCCGGCCUGAGAGGGUGGACGGCCACAUUGGGACUGAGAUACGGCCCAGACUCCUACGGGAGGCAGCAGUGGGGAAUAUUGCACAAUGGGCGGAAGCCUGAUGCGGCGACGCCGCGUGGGGGAUGACGGCCUUCGGGUUGUAAACUCCUUUCGACCGCGAGGAAGCCACCUGGUUGGAAGGGUGGUGACGGUAGUGGUAGAAGAAGCACCGGCUAACUACGUG
rnacentral:rRNA from 1 species